AUAGAACGCUGGCGGCAUGCUUUACACAUGCAAGUCGAACGGUAACAGGCCGCAAGGUGCUGACGAGUGGCGAACGGGUGAGUAAUGCAUCGGAACGUGCCCAGUCGUGGGGGAUAACGCAGCGAAAGCUGUGCUAAUACCGCAUACGAUCUAUGGAUGAAAGCGGGGGACCGGAAGGCCUCGCGCGAUUGGAGCGGCCGAUGUCAGAUUAGGUAGUUGGUGGGGUAAAGGCCCACCAAGCCAACGAUCUGUAGCUGUUCUGAGAGGACGACCAGCCACACUGGGACUGAGAUACGGCCCAGACUCCUACGGGAGGCAGCAGUGGGGAAUUUUGGACAAUGGGCGCAAGCCUGAUCCAGCAAUGCCGCGUGCAGGAAGAAGGCCUUCGGGUUGUAAACUGCUUUUGUACGGAACGAAACGGUCUGGGUUAAUACCCUGGGCUAAUGACGGUACCGUAAGAAUAAGCACCGGCUAACUACGUGCCAGCCGCCGCCGUAACAC
rnacentral:rRNA from 1 species